rnacentral:pre_miRNA from 12 species
UUGUGUCUGGUGAUGGGCCUCAAGUUGUGCAAAAGUGCUUACAGUGCAGGUAGAGUUCAGGAUCUACUGCAGUUUAAGCACUUCUGGCAUUACUGUGGCGAUUCCGUGGUGGUGGCAG